rnacentral:lncRNA from 1 species
AGACUGUAGUAUGCAGGUAAAAAUUAUUCAAAAAGAAUUUUUAAAUAGCAGGAAAAGGCAAUAUAAUAUAAUCAGAAUCCAAGUACUUCCAGAGAAGUCUUUCAAGGUAGCAUGGUAAAAUUGGAUGUAAGGGAAGAAAAGCAUAUUUUGAACGAACAAGUCUUAAAGAAAGAAUUCUAAGUGCAACAAUUGUUGGGUUGUUCUCCAUCUUAACAGUCCACAAUUCACACACAUUGUUUAAGCAGCACAUGAGAUUGGUUGUAUCCAUUGCCAAGCGGGUUGAUACUUGGUACUUCACUCACCACACUCGCCACGGCUUAGAAGGGCAUGGUGGUGUGCCUGUGGUCCAGCUUCUACCGGGGAAAGCUUUAGGAUUUGAGUCUGCUGAGAAACCUGAGAGUGAGCGUCCCCACGUGAAAGCUGGCACUUCCAUUUUUUUUUUAAUACUAUCGUUCCAGAAUCAUCAGAACAUGCAGAUUAUUUUUCUUUUUAAUUUUUUUUGGCCAUGCUGCGUGGCAGGCAGGGUCAUAGUUCCCUGACCAGGGAUUGAACCCAUGCCCCCUGCAGCGGAAGCGUAGAGUCCUAACCACUGGACCGCCAGGGAAGUCCCUCAAUCAUUUUGAACUGUACAAUUUAGUGGUAUUAAUUACAUUCACACUGUUGUACAACAAUCACCACCAUCUAUUUCCAAAACUUUUUCAUCACUCCAAACAGUACCCAUUAACCAUCAACCCCCCAUCUUCCCUCGCCCCAGCUCCAGGUAAUGUCUAAUCUACUUCCUGUCUCUACAAAUUUCCCCAUUCUCGAUGUUUCAUAUAAGUGGAAUCAUACAAUAUUUGUCCCUUUGUGUCACCCAGCAUAAUGUUUUCAGGGUUUAUCCACGUUGUAGCCUGUAUCAGGACCUUAUUCCUUUUAAUGGCUGAAUAAUAUUCCAUUGCAUACCAAAUUUUUCUCAUCCAUUCAUCUGCUGAGGGACACUUGGGCUGUGUUCAUUUGCUGUUAACAAACAUGAUCAUGGUAUACACAAUUCUGGCAGCUUUUUUCCCUUUUACUUAAUACAUUUCAGCUAUCUAUCCUAAAUUUUUAAAAGCCACAUUAUUCUAGUAGAUGGAAGUACCGUCAUUUAUUUACUACUCUUCUAACAACAGAUGUAGAAACUGCUGUCAUAUUUCAGCCAGUAAAACAGUGCUAGAGUGAACAUACUAGUACAUCAUUUUGCAUUUCUACCAGGUUUCCUGGAAGAUGAACUCCUAAAAGUGCUAUUAGCUGGUCAACAGGAAUGUGCAUUUAACAUUUUGAUAGAUACUGCCAAGUUAGCUUCCAGAAAUGUCACCCCUAUUGACAUUCUUAUCAACAGAGACCAUGAGAGCUUUUUUGUCCAUAUCUUUCCCACAAGAAUUACUUGGAAUUUCUUUCAUCCUUGCCAGUCUGACAGGUGAUGAGUUUGCUAAUUUGAAGUUGGUAUAAGGAAGGAUGUACAGGUGUGCCAUGAGAGCAGAGGGUGCUCAGGGGUGAAGUUUGAGGGUGUCAGAGUCCUCUAGACCAAAGCAGAGAACAGAAUUCCAGGACCAGAAGGGGUUCUGCUUGUUUCUAUAAUCAGGGCUGAUUUCAGUAGAAAUACACACAUGCAGCUGCACUGAAUGCUAAAAUACUGAAAACUCCUCCAUAGUGUUUGGCAAUAGAUCACUGUCCUGAGCUCCACCCGUGAAUCGCAACCCACCUUCCCCCAAUCCAGCAGCUGAAGGGUUAAAAACCCUGCCCAGCACCAUUGCCGAUGCCAGCUCAACUUGAUCUUUAUUUGUGCUGACUGGUUGUUAAUACUCAGAAUAUCGCUCCUGCCUACAUGAGUCUAAUUUUUUGUGAGACCCACUGAUUCCCUCCUCACUCUAUUUCUGAACCUCUAACACUGUAGAGCAAUCAUCUAUUUCAUUUACGAGACCUGUGCUCCUGAGGGCAGGAAGCCUGUCUUUCUCAUUCAUUCUUUCACUCACCAAAUGUUUUUCGAGCACUUUGUACAUUGCAGUUGCUGAACCAGGAUCCCAGAAUAUCACUGUGAAAAGGCAAACACCAUCUUGGGCCUCACAGAAUUUACGUACUUUUUUACUUACCAGUAAAAAGGGCAGGUGAAAAAUAACUGAACAGCCAAAUAAAGAAAAUAACUCCCAAUAAUCAUGAGUGCUAU